rnacentral:lncRNA from 12 species
GGGAGUUGCUCUGAGCUCGGGCUUUGGGUGGAUGGGCACAGCAGCCAUUCCACAUCCCUCCCCAGCUGUCCCUGCCCAAUGCAGCCACCACUUUGAGACAAGGCAGCAGCAUUCAGGCCAGGAAUGCCAGGCUGGGUUAGUGGCUGUAUGUGUCUGUCUGCCAUUCCACAAGAACAACUCCCUUCAAGUCAUCACCUGUGGGACCAACAAGAACUCAAG